rnacentral:rRNA from 1 species
GAUGAACGCUGGCGGCGUGCCUAAUACAUGCAAGUCGAGCGAACAGACGAGGAGCUUGCUCCUCUGACGUUAGCGGCGGACGGGUGAGUAACACGUGGAUAACCUACCUAUAAGACUGGGAUAACUUCGGGAAACCGGAGCGAAUACCGGAUAAUAUAUUGAACCGCAUGGUUCAAUAGUGAAAGACGGUUUUGCUGUCACUUAUAGAUGGAUCCGCGCCGCAUUAGCUAGUUGGUAAGGUAACGGCUUACCAAGGCAACAAUGCGUAACCGACCUGUGAGGGUGUAGGGCCGCACUGGACUUGCGACACGUUCCAGACUACUACGGGAGGCAGCAGUAGCGAAUCUUCCGCAUUAGGCGAAGUCUUGACGUAGCAACGCCGCGUGAGUGAUGAAGGUCUUCGGAUCUUAAAACUCUUUUAUUAGGGAAGAACAAAUGUGUAAGUAACUAUGCACGUCUUGACGGUACCUAAUCAGAAAGCCACGGCUAACUACGUG